CUAAAAGAACAUAUUUCCUGAAAAGGAUGAAGACAGCAAGAAAAUAUUCUCUAACAAUGGUAUUUUUGUUGGUAUUUUUUUUAUCAUUGCAUCAGACGUGGUUACAGAAUCACAAGCCAGAGGAAUGAGUGAGAAUAUUCUCCAAGAUUGUGUCAAACAUGAUGUUACAGAAUCAUGUAUGCCUUCGACGCUCGUGUACACUCAAUAAGCUUCCAACAAAUACAUAAUUAGUUUAUAAACUGAGUAAUAAAAUUUUGUAAAAUAAUCGUCAUGUGUAAACGAGAAUUAUAAAUAAAAUGAAUUUCAAGAUA